UAGCUCAGUCGAUUGAGCGUGGUGCUGAUAACACCAAGGUCGUGGGUUCAAUCCCCAU
rfam:Apaloderma vittatum contig36437, whole genome shotgun sequence.